rnacentral:rRNA from 1 species
AUUGAACGCUGGCGGCAGGCCUAACACAUGCAAGUCGAGCGAGCGGCGGACGGGUGAGUAAUGUAUGGGGAUCUGCCUGAUGGAGGGGGAUAACUACUGGAAACGGUAGCUAAUACCGCAUACCAUCAGAUGAACCCAUAUGGGAUUAGCUAGUAGGUGAGGUAACGGCUCACCUAGGCGACGAUCCCUAGCUGGUCUGAGAGGAUGAUCAGCAACACUUGGACUGGGCCACGGCCCAGAGUCCUACGGGAGGAAGCAGUGGGGAAGAUUGCACAAUGGGCGCAAGCCUGAUGCCGCCAUGCCGCGUGUAUGAAGAAGGCCCUCGGGUUGUAAAGUACUUUUAGUCGGGAGGCGUUACCGACCGAAGAAGCACCGGCUAACUCCGUGCCAGCAGCCGCGGUAAUUC